AAGACUAUACUUCACAGGAUCAUUUCUGUAGUCAGUCUUCACAUACUUUCACACUAGCUGAAAGCCAAGUGCACCCGCGUUGAUGAGUUGAAUCGUUCUAUUCGGCAGCGUGAGGAUUUGCCCAGUGUUCUUUGUGGUGCCUCGCAUCGUUCGGGACGCAGGGCUUCGAUGAUCGCUCGGUAGAAACGGAUAGAGCGAAUUCUGAGUGGU
ensembl:snoRNA snoRNA:U3:54Ab snoRNA:U3:54Ab